rnacentral:rRNA from 1 species
AAAUUGAAGAGUUUGAUCAUGGCUCAGAUUGAACGCUGGCGGCAGGCCUAACACAUGCAAGUCGAACGGUAACAGGAAGCAGCUUGCUGCUUUGCUGACGAGUGGCGGACGGGUGAGUAAUGUCUGGGAAACUGCCUGAUGGAGGGGGAUAACUACUGGAAACGGUGGCUAAUACCGCAUAACGUCGCAAGACCAAAGAGGGGGACCUUCGGGCCUCUUGCUAUCAGAUGUGCCCAGAUGGGAUUAGCUUGUUGGUGAGGUAACGGCUCACCAAGGCGACGAUCCCUAGCUGGUCUGAGAGGAUGACCAGCCACACUGGAACUGAGACACGGUCCAGACUCCUACGGGAGGCAGCAGUGGGGAAUAUUGCACAAUGGGCGCAAGCCUGAUGCAGCCAUGCCGCGUGUAUGAAGAAGGCCUUCGGGUUGUAAAGUACUUUCAGCGGGGAGGAAGGUGUUG